rnacentral:tRNA from 1 species
UAGAUGAAUGCUUGUUGGUUAGAGCGUUUAACUGUUAAUUAAAAGUUUGUAGGAUCGAAGCCUACUCAUCUAGAAGGCUUUAUCUUAAUUAAAGUUUCUGUUUUGCAUACAGAAGAUGUGGGUUAAACUCCUGUAGGUCUUAUAGAGUCUGGGAAACUUUCAUUCCCUCUUAA